rnacentral:rRNA from 1 species
GACGUAGGGGGCCAGCGUUGCUCGGAAUUACUGGGCGUAAAGGGUUCGUAGGCGGUGUGGCAAGUCGGAAGUGAAAUCUCUAGGCUCAACCUAGAGGCUCCUCCCGAAACUGCCAUGCUAGAGUGCGGGAGAGGCGAGUGGAAUUACAGGUGUAGCGGUGAAAUGCGCAGAUAUCAGGAGGAACACCGGUGGCGAAGGCGGGUCUCUGGGCCGAUACUGACGCUGAGGAGCGAAAGCGUGGGGAGCGAACAGG